rnacentral:rRNA from 1 species
GGCGCGAAAACUUUGCAAUACACGAAAGUGUGACAGGGUCAUCCCGAGUGCCGACCGCUGAGGUUGGCUUUUACCCAGUCUAGAAAGCUGGGGGAAUAAGGAGAGGGCAAGUCUGGUGUCAGCCGCCGCGGUAAUACCAGCUCUCCGAGUGGUGUGGACGUUUAUUGGGCCUAAAGCAUCCGUAGCUGGCUGAACAAGUCCCCUGUUAAACCCACCGAUUUAAUCGUUGGUCUGCGGGGGAUACUGCUCGGCUAGGGGACGAGAGAGGCAGACGGUAUUCCCGGGGUAGGGGUGAAAUCCUAUAAUCCCGAGAAGACCACCAGUGGCGAAGGCUGUCUGCUAGAACGCGCCCGACGGUGAGGGAUGAAAGCUGGGGGAGCGAACCGGAUUAGAUACCCGGGUAGUCCCAGCUGUAAACGAUGCAGACUAGGUGUUUGGACGGCCACGUGCCGUUCUAGUGCCGCAGGGAAGCUGUUAAGUCUGCCGCCUGGGGAGCACGAUCGCAAGAUUGAAACUUAAAGGAAUUGGCGGGGGAGCAC